rnacentral:tRNA from 1 species
AUAUGGUUAGCUCAGCAUGGUGAGAGCGGCCGUACUGCGAGAUGCGUACGGAGGGUCGCGGGUUCAAAUCCACGCACUGUAUUCA